UCUUGGUUCUGGCAUCGAUGAAGAACGCAGCGAAAUGCGAUAAGUAGUGUGAAUUGCAGAAUUCAGUGAAUCAUCGAAUCUUUGAACGCACAUUGCGCCCCUUGGUAUUCCAUGGGGCAUGCCUGUUCGAGCGUCAUUUGUACCUUCAAGCUCUGCUU
rnacentral:rRNA from 1 species